UACAGAGGUCCCGAGCGUUGUUCGGAUUCAUUGGGCGUAAAGGGCGCGUAGGCGGGCGGUCAAGUCAGGGGUGUAAUCUUUCGGCCUAACCGGAAAAGGGCCUCUGAUACUGGCCGUCUCGAGGGAGGUAGGGGCAUGCGGAACUUCCGGUGGAGCGGUGAAAUGCGUAGAUAUCGGAAGGAACGCCGGUGGCGAAAGCGGCGUGCUGGACCUCUUCUGACGCUGAGGCGCGAAAGCCAGGGGAGCGAACGGG
rnacentral:rRNA from 1 species